AGGGGCAUCAGUUUGGUUUGCUUGCAAACUGAAGAUGGCGACCGGCGCACGGGUGAGUAACGCGUAUGCAACCUGCCCGAUACCGGGGUAUAGCCCAUGGAAACGUGGAUUAACACCCCAUAGUACUUUUAUCCUGCAUGGGAUGUGAGUUAAAUGUUCAAGGUAUCGGAUGGGCAUGCGUCCUAUUAGUUAGUUGGCGGGGUAACAGCCCACCAAGACGAUGAUAGGUAGGGGUUCUGAGAGGAAGGUCCCCCACAUUGGAACUGAGACACGGUCCAAACUCC
rnacentral:rRNA from 1 species